AGUAGCGCGUGGGUAACCUGCCUCAUACAGGGGGAUAACGAUUGGAAACGAUUGCUAAUACCGCAUAAGCGCACAGUACCACAUGGUACAGUGUGAAAAACUCCGGUGGUAUGAGAUGGACCCGCGUCUGAUUAGCUAGUUGGUGAGGUAACGGCCCACCAAGGCAACGAUCAGUAGCCGACCUGAGAGGGUGACCGGCCACAUUGGGACUGAGACACGGCCCAG
rnacentral:rRNA from 1 species